AGUGGGCCCUGCAGCCAUUUCCAGCCUCUCCUCCUAGAAGGUGGAAUGGAGGAGCCUUUUCUGCACACCAGAGCUGGGGGAAGGGAGGGAUCAGAAACACCCAGGAGGCGUCGGACCUCCCUCCCCUUAAGUCUGAGGGGCUGAGAGGAUGCUUGAGGCCCAUGAGGUCCUUCUCAGGAGCACCAAAUGCAGAACCAAAUGGACGGGAGACUGUGGCCGCUCUCCUGGUCUCCUGCCCACACCUCUGCUCCAUCAGCACCCAUGGCAGACCCCAUCAACCUUCAGAAAUCUCAGUGAUGUCACCAGUUGCAAAUGGAGCUUCUGAUCAAAUGAGGUCUGGAGUGUUACCACAGUGUGUGAAGCAAUCCCAGCUACCCAGCUGUCCACACCAGAGGAAGCCAAGCAUCAACACUAGACACACUGACAGGUCCAGUAUGGCUCUGUGGCUCUCCCCACUCAAACAAACGACAGUAACAAAGAACAAAACACAACACCUGGAGGAACCCCUGUGGACCCACUGCUGAACAGGCUAUCACUAUGAAGUCUCUCCAGUGCUUCAAAACCCUGACACUUGUUGGAAAUUCACUUUCCAUGGCGUUCCCCCAAGGAACACAUUUGCUGAGACGCACCUCACAGAGGAAGCAAGAGAAAGGGAAGGUUGUCUGCUCUGGUCCCCUUGUUAUCUAUUUUCCAAACUGCAGCCAGAGUGUGAUUUUUCAAAAGCCUAAGUCAGUCCAUAUCACUCCUCUAUUCAAAACCCUGUCUGACUUCUAACUUCACUCAGAAAAACUCCAAAUCCUCACAAUGGCCUAAAAAGCCCCACCUACCUACUCCCUCCCGGUGUCCUGGCUGCUCUCUGUCCUCUUGGCCCAGCCCCUUCCCUGCAUUCAUUGCUCUCUCUAGGACACUCCUCCUUGGGAGGUCCACAUGGCCACCCCUCACCUCCCUUCAAGUCUGCUCAAUGUCACCUUCUUGGUGAGACCCCCCUGCCCCCACCUGGGCCCUCCCCACCCCCUGGCCCUGGUCUGCCUCUCUUCCAUUGCUCAUCACCGAACACACAGAUGUGUUACUUAUUCAUGAGGUCUGUCUCAGACACCAGGAUGCCCUUCACAAGGGCAGCUCUGCUCCCAUCGCUGCUGGGUAGGCACUUAUCAUUGUGGGAUGACUGUGGAGGGGAGGAUGGCGCCAGGCUCUCGCCCUCACCUCAGUGUGCAGCCUCUCAGUGUAUUUCUCCAUGACCAGAGGGUCUGGGGCUUCCUGAGAAGGGGUAGUGCAGUCAGGGACAGGGUCUUCCACCAGAAGCCUGUCCCGACUCAAAGAUUUCAUCGGUUUCUUGUUAUCCUUUGCCUUGUGCUUCUUGCUGUUUAAACGUUCCUGCUUAGAGAGACAGAGACAUGCAUGGCCUUCAAGAGCUCCUGUGGGAGGUCCUGGACUUUCUCAAGAGCAGCUCACUGGGAGAGCUGGGGCAUCCUGUGGGGCUGAAGACGAGCAAGGAAAGAAGAUGGGAGGAAACACACAGCUCACUUUGCUGCGACGGCUCCCCAGACAGCAGCAGGGAGCUGUGGGGACUGCUGAGGCAGAUGUGCGGGCAUAGAGUGUCUGCAGCGUCUUCUAGCACCUGAGUUCAAGGGGAGUCCUGGGACUGCCUGCCCAGAACCCCUGGCCAGCCGCUAAAGGCAAGGAGGUGGAGCCAGCUCUGCUGGUGGGGUACCUACCACGUGUGGUGCAGGAAGUCUGACUGCAACAGCCUCUGCUCCCGGUACAGCUCCAGGGUUGCUUUGUUGAGUCUGAUGAGGGCAUCUUCUCUCUGGUUCUCCUCAGGAAGUGCCAUCAUUGCCUGUAGGAUCACAGGUACCAUGGGCAACUGUUCUGUCCAGCAUACCGAGGAUCCAGGUCCUCUAGUGAUGGACAUGGUGUGGUGAGGACAGGUGGCCAGGAGGGGCUGCAGUCAUGGAGAAUCUGUUUGGGGUGCCUUCUGUGGGAGCCUGGGACCUGCCCCAGAAAUCUAUACCCCUGACCCCUCCCUCCAAGGUUUACCAGAGUCAGAGCAGAAGCUCCUCCUGCACUGGCCUAGGCACCUGAGACAAAGAUGAUGCAAGAGAUUGCCUUCUCUGGGCCCUCAGGUUUGUCUUCUUUUCCACAGGGGCAUGUGGGGCCGUGGGGACUCUCCCUUGGCUAGUGCAGGAGCACUGGCACUAUGCCAAGGCCACUCCACCAACCCCUUCCGAGUCAGGGAGCACCUUUCUGAGGGUCUCCAAGCAGAGGUUCCACUCGGGUAGCAGCAGGCUAUCCAGCUUCCAAGGACUCUUGGCCCUCUCCAGGUCUGGGCUCCCCUCCACCAGGAUCUCCUCCAUGACGCUCUUCCACUGAGAACCCUUGGCCCCCAUUCCAGGCUUCUGGGACCUGAAAGAAUCUCUGGAGUCGCUGAGAGCCUCAUUGUCCUGCCCGGGCAGCUGGGUUUCCAAGACUGGGCUCUUACAGUGCGCCACAGAAGGCUUGACUUUCACUGAGGCCUUCUCCAGAUAGGCCGACUGGGCCAUGGCAGUCCUGGGCCUGGGGCUCACGUGCUCCUCCUCAUCUGGCCUGGCCUCCUCGGCCUUGGCAGGCAACAUCACAUACUGGCGCCACAGCCCAUGCAGGUUCUGCACCACUUGGUGCUGGUAAUACAGCUGCAGCAGAGGGCUGCUCUGAGGAGAAAGUGAGUUACUGGUGGAAGAUGCUCAGAACAGGUCCUGGCACGUAGAAGUGUUUGCUACCACUUUCACCCCGGGCACAUCUGAUGGGGCAGGAGCCGGUACGGGACCUGUACCCGAGGAUUCCUGUGGUGGAACAAGUCCUCCUCCGUGAGGUAGGCGUCCACAGGUGACUGCGCACGCUCCGGGGUCAGGACCCCCCUCAGCAGCUCCUGCAGCAUGCUCUCCACGAUGGUGACUGCUUCGUGGGCGGCCAACUUGUUCUGGGGAAAGGACGGUGGACAAGAUGGCAGGCUUUCAAAUGCAUGCUGCAUCCUCGAGCAGAGCCAGAUCUCUCAGGACUUUGUGCCAUUGUCUGCCUGUCUGUCUCAAAACCCCAAAUAUCUUUGUUGAGGCUGAAAGGAGUCAGAGGAGGCCCCAGUCCCAGAGAGGCUGCUCCUUAGUGGGAUCAGGAGGUCACACAGUCAGCAUAUCCCCAAGAUUAGGAAGAAGGGCAAGGCACAGGGACCACAAGGUCUGGGCCCUGCUGAGAACGUGGCUUGGCCAUACUUGGUGUCUCAGGAACAGUGGAGGGAUAUCUUGUGUGAGAGGUUGGUCUUAUAGUCACCAAGUAAAGUAGAUAUGACAUUUGUCAAAAUUACCUGUGAUCACUGCAGACAGAACCCCAGCUGGAGUAGCUGGCUCAUGUUUGGGGACCACAGUAAAAAAGCACAGCUUUCAACAGAAUCCCCAAAGCAAUGGCACCAAAUGGCGAGCUAUGAAAUGGACUGGGGGCUGGCUCCCCAGUUCCCACCCCACAUGCUCGCGGGUGUCAGCCCCACUAGUCAAAUUGUCCUCUCUAGCCUUACCAGUUCCAGGCAACUCCACUGGAGAGCAUCAGACAGCAGUGAACAAAUAGAGUAGGCAUGCAAAGGCUGUGGAAGUACUUCAAUGGAGACUGUACCUUAAGGUUGGCUCAUUUCCUUCUAACACAGUGGGGGCCAUGCAGGUGGGGCUCAAAGCUGCCCCUCCUCUUGCCUGCCCACCCAUCUUUUACAUCACAAAGUCCUGGGAACUGUUUGUGGAGCAAAAAGAUCUGCAUGCUUGUGAAAAAUUCACCUCUUAGGCUGGGAGAAAUAAGAUCGCUCAGGCAGUGCCAAGAACACCAGGGUAACCUAUCUGGUGUCCUCAGGGGCCAAGAUCCUGGGUCCCUUACCUCUAUUAACUUCCUCUCUUCCCUAAAAAUGUCCUGGGUCAGAGAGACUGCGUGGAGAUUGACCUGCAGGAUAGCACCCCCUAAUAGGGUGGGGUGGGUUCUGAACUCCCAGUGUUCCCUGAAGAUGCCGGCAUUCAAAGACUUGAAGAAGAAGGUAAAGCUUUUAGUUUCUCCAGGCAGAAUCACACCUAAGAGGGACAGAAACAGGUUUCACUAUGCAGGAGCAGCUGAGAAAGUUGACUAAGCCCUAAGCCUAUGCAUAUAUAGUUAGCUGAGUCCCAGUAGGGCAACCAACCGUCCCAGUUUACCCAGAACUGAGGGGUUUCCUGGCAGCUGGGCCUUUCAGUGCUGUAAGUAGGACAGUUCCAAGCAAACAGAGACAGCUGGUCACCCUAGCCUCAGGCCUGUGCAUAUAAGCCACUGAACCCCUAGAAAGUUUCUGCUCAGUGGUGGCUCAUGUCCCUCUGUUCUUAAGAGCUCACCAUUCCCCCAACAGAUAUGAAUAGUUAGGAGAUGACAAAAUUCACAGAAAAAAUGGGAGGGACAAGAUAGGGAAGAGGGGUUCAAACUUGGGCACUGGCUAGACUUUGCUCCUCACAGACAUCAAGGACAGUAGCAGGUGGGCAGGGCAGCUUCUCCUAGAUACCUUCCCGAUUAUUAAAGUAAAACCGUUGCAUCCUGUUUCUUUUCAGGUCUUGGAAAGAGUCCAGCUGGGACUGCCGUCGCCAGUCGUACCAAAUGGCCACCGUGCCAUUAUUGACCACGGUCAGUUCCGAAGAUGUUUUCUCCCCUUCUAGAGUUUCAAAGGUCAAGCGGACAGCGAUUCCAACAUGCUUCUAGGGAAGGAAGAGAUAUGAGAAAUGUCUUUGAGGGAGGUUCUGGCCUAGGAUGACCAACAUCCCAGUUUGCCAGGGGCUUUUCUGGGUACAGCACAAAAGCCCUGUGUUGCAGGCCUCCAGGGCCUGGCCUCCCUCAAACGGAGUGGUGUCAUACCCAGAUACCACUGGGUACGUGGUUGUGUCUGAGGUUGCCAUCAAUGGUAAUAUGAGAUAAAACUGAUUUUACAUCUGAUGAACAUUUCUGCUCCUUAGCAACUGAAGAAUAUUUUAGAACCUUCUUAAAGCCAUACCUGUUUGAGAAUAUUUGCUUAAUUUACAAGCUUGGGGGCUAGUACAAAGAGGGUGGCUUGUGACACUCUCUUCAGCCUUGUGAUUUUACUCUGGCUCAAGUUGGUGUCACUGUUAACCAUUUUCAGACAUGCUAAAUACAUGACCAGAUAAAAACGCAAAUAGGUGGCCAUGCAAGCUCCUUGUGACUGCUGCAGUCCCCCAGCACUGCACCCAAGGGAGGCCCUACCAGCAGGUGGAUGAGGGUGAAGCCAGUUUUACCUUGUCCUGUGGGUUACUGCCUCUGAUCCAGCGAGCUGGUUUCCCACAGAAAAGCAGAGAAGGGCCAAGAACAGGCAUGGGAACCGCAUCAGGGCAGCUGGCUAAUAAAUCUCUGUAAGAAAAACCAUUGACUUAUUUUCCCUGAGGCUGCCCCAGUCCUUGCCACAUGGCCUAUGGAAAUAGCUGCCAGGAAGUCUGGAGAAGUGCCCGUUUCUGGCCGCCAGUGGAGUAUUGUCAGCUCCACUUUCGCUCAGCUUCACCCUGCUCUGUUCCUACAGGUGGGAGCUUCUUAGAUGUACAGACUCUUUACACACAGCCAUCAGUGUGCACAGCACUGGGAGAGUGUGGGGGGGACAUUUACCAUUGAAGACCGUCUGGGAGAUACCCAUGAGGAGCUGGUUGCUGGAAGGAAGCAGAGGGUCAUAGAAAAGCUAACACAGGUAUCGGAAUGGUCUGGAGGAGGAGGUGGCAGCCACUGGAGAGAGGCUGGGAUGGAGGUACCCUGAUUCCAGAAGAGGAAGCCUGACCCUUAACAUCUGUAGGUGCCAGGGAAAAGCCACAUUUUCCAACUUCUCUGCCUAGGACCCAAGCCCAACUCACAAGCUCAGCGUGUCCUCAGCGGGGCUUUCUUGGCUGCUUUCAAACACUGAAUAGUCUUCCACUUCCACUGUCGAGAAAGCCUGCCCUCUGCCCACCACCUCCAGGCCAUCAAUAUCCUCAGAAAGAAGAAGAAAGGCAAGAUUAGCUGCUGACUGAACACAGGCACCACCCUAAGGGGCUCCUGGGCAUGGGAGCAUUACCAACCUGCUGGCUGAAACCCAGCUCUGCCAUGAUGCUCUGCAACUCCUUGCGCCGGGAGACCAGAAACAGACUCCGAUCCCAGGUGUAGAGGUACCAAGCAUCUUUCUGGGACUUCAGUCCUAGAGCAGGGUCCCAGGGUACUCAGCACAGGCUGCUGCCCUGCCCCUUCCUACCCACUCUCAAGGGCUCUGAGAGUACCCAUCCCAGUGCUAUUUCUGAGAAAGGUGGAAAUACAGCUUCCCUCUGCAACAGGGUGCCCAUACUCUUGCCCCACAGCUACUGCUUAGCAGCCUGUGUUAGGCCUCUUGCAAAAUUAGCUUCCAAACCGCCAAACUUCGGAUUAUAAUAAAAAUAACAAUAGCAGCUACCUUUCACGGAGUGUGUGACAAUGGACCAGAACCUCUUAAUGCACAUCAGUGUCUCCUUUAACCCUCUUAUGAGCCCAGCAAUAUUUUAGAUGGGGAAACUGAGGGCCAGAGAGGUUAAGCAACUUGCUAGAGUUCACAAAUACAACAAAGCUGGGAUCUGAACCCCUGCAGGCCAGCAUCUCUUAAAGUAAUGCCACCCAAGAGAAAUAUGCAAACUACGAACAGGAGCCACGUAGCUAACUUUAAAUUUUCUCAGCACUGUGUUUAGAAAGGCAAAAGGAAACAUGGAAUUUUAGUAAUGUAGCUGAAUCCAAUGUAUCACAAAUACUAUUUCAACAU